rfam:Ophiophagus hannah scaffold3790.1, whole genome shotgun sequence.
CCUUCGAUAGCUCAGCUGGUAGAGCGGAGGACUGUAGAGAGCUACCAAAGUCAUCCUUAGGUCGCUGGUUCGAUUCCGGCUCGAAGGA